rnacentral:rRNA from 1 species
CCUACGGGAGGCAGCAGUGGGGAAUUUUGGACAAUGGGCGCAAGCCUGAUCCAGCAAUGCCGCGUGAGUGAAGAAGGCCUUCGGGUUGUAAAGCUCUUUUGUCAGGGAAGAAACGGUGGAGGCUAAUAUCCUUUGCUAAUGACGGUACCUGAAGAAUAAGCACCGGCUAACUACGUGCCAGCAGCCGCGGUAAUACGUAGGGUGCAAGCGUUAAUCGGAAUUACUGGGCGUAAAGCGUGCGCAGGCGGUUUUGUAAGUUUGUCGUGAAAUCCCCGGGCUCAACCUGGGAAUGGCGAUGAAGACUGCAAGGCUAGAAUCUGGCAGAGGGGGGUAGAAUUCCACGUGUAGCAGUGAAAUGCGUAGAGAUGUGGAGGAACACCGAUGGCGAAGGCAGCCCCCUGGGUCAAGAUUGACGCUCAUGCACGAAAGCGUGGGGAGCAAACAGGAUUAGAUACCCUGGUAGUCCACGCCCUAAACGAUGUCUACUAGUUGUCGGGUUUUAAUUAACUUGGUAACGCAGCUAACGCGUGAAGUAGACCGCCUGGGGAGUCGGUCGCAAGNUUAAAACNCAAAGGAUUGACGGNNGAGAGNGCGACGACGACGACGAGGGAGGAGG